AGAGCGAACGCUGGCGGCAGGCUUAACACAUGCAAGUCGAACGGAUCCUUCGGGAUUAGUGGCGGACGGGUGAGUAACACGUGGGAACGUGCCUUUAGGUUCGGAACAACACAGGGAAACUUGUGCUAAUACCGGAUGUGCCCUUCGGGGGAAAGAUUUAUCGCCUUUAGAGCGGCCCGCGUCUGAUUAGCUUGUUGGUGAGGUAAAGGCUCACCAAGGCUACGAUCAGUAGCUGGUCUGAGAGGAUGGCCAGCCACAUUGGGACUGAGACACGGCCCAAACUCCUACGGGAGGCAGCAGUGGGGAAUCUUGCGCAAUGGGGGAAACCCUGACGCAGCCAUGCCGCGUGGAUGAUGAAGGUCUUAGGAUUGUAAAAUCCUUUCAGCGGGACGAUAAUGACGGUACCCGCAGAAGAAGCCCCGGCUAACUUCGCGCCAGCAGCCGC
rnacentral:rRNA from 1 species